GCCGCGAUCAGCUGCACCAGC
rnacentral:miRNA from 1 species